UGGAACCCAGUGGAGUCCUGAAGUUACCAGCAGAGGAGGAUGCAUUGUGACAGACUUUAAAUGUGAAGGAAGAGUCGCCCUCGUCACCCAUCACGUCUGAGAUGAAACGCCCUGAAAGCAGCCAGUCACCCCGUUGGACACAGCUCAGCUGUUAGAAGAAGUGUUUGACAGUAGUGGCAGACAGCAUAUGAAGCUGAUUUGAUGUGUUCAUGGGGACAGCUGUGUUUGGUCACACCUGUAGCUGACUGCCAGCUCCGGUACUGUUGUUAUAGAAACCUCAUCAGCUCAUAAAAGACUGAAGACCGGUGAGAAACUGCAGAGUUGCUCUUUGGCUGACCUGCUGCUGCAGGAUUGACUAAUAGAUCCAGCGAGCUGGUUACGGCUUCACUCUGUCUUGACUCCUCUCCCUCCAGGCUCCCAAAUGAUGGGAUGACCUUUCCACCUCGGUCAGGACUGCAGCGUCUCUCACAGCACGAAGUGCAAACUCUUUGCUUAGCACUUUCACAUCUCUGCCGCUCCACCUUUGUUUGCAUCUGAUUUGAAACAUGAUGAUUAGCAUCUAAAUUACCAUGUGUGAGACUUUUUAGUUGUGAAAGUUAAUCGCGUGGAACCAGGUGGGAGGUGAAAUGUUUUAAAUACCUAAGGGCUGUCAACUCUGGAACACAUCAAAUGAAUAUAAGAUAAAGGUUAAGUGCUGGCUUUAGGUGUCUUAGGUUU